GGUGAGUAACACGUGGGGAAUCUGCCCAGAAGCAGGGGAUAACACUUGGAAACAGGUGCUAAUACCGUAUAACAACAAAAUCCGCAUGGAUUUUUGUUUGAAAGGUGGCUUCGGCUAUCACUUCUGGAUGAUCCCGCGGCGUAUUAGUUAGUUGGUGAGGUAAAGGCCCACCAAGACGAUGAUACGUAGCCGACCUGAGAGGGUAAUCGGCCACAUUGGGACUGAGACACGGCCCAAACUCCUACGGGAGGCAGCAGUAGGGAAUCUUCCACAAUGGACGAAAGUCUGAUGGAGCAAUGCCGCGUGAGUGAAGAAGGGUUUCGGCUCGUAAAACUCUGUUGUUAAAGAAGAACACCUUUGAGAGUAACUGUUCAAGGGUUGACGGUAUUUAACCAGAAAGCCACGGCUAACUACGUGCCAGCAGCCGCGGUAAUACGUAGGUGGCAAGCGUUGUCCGGAUUUAUUGGGCGUAAAGCGAGCGCAGGCGGUUUUUUAAGUCUGAUGUGAAAGCCUUCGGCUUAACCGGAGAAGUGCAUCGGAAACUGGGAGACUUGAGUGCAGAAGAGGACAGUGGAACUCCAUGUGUAGCGGUGGAAUGCGUAGAUAUAUGGAAGAACACCAGUGGCGAAAGCGGCUGUCUAGUCUGUAACUGACGCUGAGGCUCGAAAGCAUGGGUAGCGAACAGGAUUAGAUACCCUGGUAGUCCAUGCCGUAACGAUGAGUGCUAGUGUUGAGGGUUUCCGCCCUCAGUGCUGCAGCUACGC
rnacentral:rRNA from 2 species